AGCGAACGCUGGCGGCAGGCCUAACACAUGCAAGUCGAACGAACCUUUCGGGGUUAGUGGCGGACGGGUGAGUAACACGUGGGAACGUGCCUUUAGGUUCGGAAUAACUCAGGGAAACUUGUGCUAAUACCGAAUGUGCCCUUCGGGGGAAAGAUUAAUCGCCUUUAGAGCGGCCCGCGUCUGAUUAGCUAGUUGGUUGAGGUAAUGGCUCACCAAGGCGACGAUCAGUAGCUGGUCUGAGAGGAUGAUCAGCCACAUUGGGACUGAGACACGGCCCAAACUCCUACGGGAGGCAGCUGUGGGGAAUCUUGCGCAAUGGGCGAAAGCCUGACGCAGCCAUGCCGCGUGAAUGAUGAAGGUCUUAGGAUUGUAAAAUUCUUUCACCGGGGACGAUAAUGACGGUACCCGGAGAAGAAGCCCCGGCUAACUUCGUG
rnacentral:rRNA from 1 species